GUCACGCCCCGAGCCCGAGGCGCAGCAGACGCCGCACGCCCGCACGGCGGGCCGCACGGGCGUGCAAGGCAUCGGAUCAUAUCAAAGCAAAUACAGAUAUUCAAAACUGACAUAAUUAUUUAAAUUUAUUCAAAAGCAGUCUUACAAAAUUUCAAAUAACAUAUGCUUACGUAAGUCAAAUACUUUAAUCAAUCUAACUAAAGGACCAAUAACUGAAGAAAUCGUCGGAAAAUCUAACGCACUCCUCAAUCCCGUGAGAUCAAGCCUCUGGAU
rnacentral:lncRNA from 1 species